UACGUAGGGUGCGAGCGUUAAUCGGAAUUACUGGGCGGAAAGCGCACGUAGGCGGAUAUUUAAGUCAGGGGUGAAAUCCCAGAGCUCAACUCUGGAACUGCCUUUGAUACUGGGUAUCUCGAGUAUGGAAGAGGUGAGUGGAAUUCCGAGUGUAGAGGUGAAAUUCGUAGAUAUUCGGAGGAACACCAGUGGCGAAGGCGGCUCACUGGUCCAUUACUGACGCUGAGGUGCGAAAGCGUGGGGAGCAAACAGG
rnacentral:rRNA from 1 species